rnacentral:rRNA from 1 species
CGGGUGAGUAACACGUGAGUAACCUGCCCCCGACUCUGGGAUAAGCCCGGGAAACUGGGUCUAAUACCGGAUAUGACACCUCCUCGCAUGGGGUGGGUGUGGAAAGUUUUUCGGUUGGGGAUGGACUCGCGGCCUAUCAGCUUGUUGGUGGGGUAACGGCCUACCAAGGCGACGACGGGUAGCCGGCCUGAGAGGGCGACCGGCCACACUGGGACUGAGACACGGCCCAGACUCCUACGGGAGGCAGCAGUGGGGAAUAUUGCGCAAUGGGCGAAAGCCUGACGCAGCGACGCCGCGUGGGGGAUGACGGCCUUCGGGUUGUAAACCUCUUUCAGCAGGGACGAAGUUGACGUGUACCUGCAGAAGAAGCGCCGGCUAACUACGUGCCAGCAGCCGCGGUAAUACGUAGGGCGCAAGCGUUGUCCGGAAUUAUUGGGCGUAAAGAGCUCGUAGGUGGCUUGUCACGUCGGGUGUGAAAGCUUGGGGCUUAACUCCAGGUCUGCAUUCGAUACGGGCUGGCUAGAGGUAGGUAGGGGAGAACGGAAUUCCUGGUGUAGCGGUGAAAUGCGCAGAUAUCAGGAGGAACACCGGUGGCGAAGGCGGUUCUCUGGGCCUUACCUGACGCUGAGGAGCGAAAGCGUGGGGAGCGAACAGGAUUAGAUACCCUGGUAGUCCACGCUGUAAACGUUGGGCGCUAGGUGUGGGGACCUUCCAGCAUGUUGCUUAAUUCGACGCAACGCGAAGAACCUUACCAAGGCUUGACAUUGCCCGGAAACACUCAGAGAUGGGUGCCUCUUCGGAUCGGGUGACAGGUGGUGCAUGGCUGUCGUCAGCUCGUGUCGUGAGAUGUUGGGUUAAGUCCCGCAACGAGCGCAACCCUUGUUCAAUGUUGCCAGCAACACCUUUCGGGGUGGUUGGGGACUCAUUGGAGACUGCCGGGGUCAACUCGGAGGAAGGUGGGGAUGACGUCAAGUCAUCAUGCCCCUUAUGUCUUGGGCUGCAAACAUGCUACAAUGGCCGGUACAGAGGGCUGCGAUACCGCAAGGUGGAGCGAAUCCCUAAAAGCCGGUCUCAGUUCGGAUUGGGGUCUGCAACUCGACCCCAUGAAGUCGGAGUCGCUAGUAAUCGCAGAUCAGCAACGCUGCGGUGAAUACGUUCCCGGGCCUUGUACACACCGCCCGUCACGUCACGAAAGUCG